GUCGGCUGCCGGGACCAAGAUGUCGCUGAGCAAGAAAAGAAAGCUUGAGUCGGGGGUCGGCGGCGCAGGAGGGGAGGGAGCUGAGGAGGAAAAUGGCGGGGAGCAGGAGGCAGCCCCGCCACGACCCCGGAGGACCAAGCGCGAGCGGGACCAGCUGUACUACGAGUGCUACUCCGACGUAUCGGUCCACGAGGAGAUGAUCGCCGACCGCGUCCGCACCGACGCCUACCGCCUAGGCAUCCUGAGGAACUGGGCCGCUCUGCGAGGCAAGACCGUGCUGGACGUGGGCGCAGGCACCGGCAUUCUUAGCAUCUUCUGCGCCCAGGCCGGGGCCCGGCGCGUAUACGCUGUGGAGGCCAGCGCCAUCUGGCAACAGGCCCAGGAGGUGGUGCGGCUCAACGGGUUGGAGGACCGCGUGCACAUCCUGCCAGGCCCGGUGGAGACGGUGGAGCUGCCGGAGCAAGUGGACGCCAUCGUAAGCGAGUGGAUGGGCUACGGACUACUGCACGAGUCCAUGCUGAGCUCCGUGCUCCACGCGCGGACCAAAUGGCUGAAGGAGGGCGGUCUCCUCCUGCCAGAUUCCGCUGAGCUCUUCGUGGCCCCGAUUAGCGACCAGAUGCUGGAAUGGCGCUUGGGUUUCUGGAGCCAAGUGAAGCAGCACUAUGGCGUGGAUAUGAGCUGCAUGGAAAGCUUCGCCACGCGCUGCCUCAUGGGCCAUUCGGAGAUCGUGGUGCAGGGUCUGUCCGGAGAGGACGUGCUGGCCCGGCCACAGCGCUUUGCCCAGCUCGAGCUGGCCCGCGCUGGCCUGGAGCAGGAGCUGGAGGCCGGUGUGGGCGGGCGCUUCCGCUGCAGCUGCUAUGGCUCCGCGCCUCUACAUGGUUUUGCCAUCUGGUUUCAGGUAACCUUUCCUGGAGGGGACUCGGAGAAACCUCUGGUGCUGUCCACCUCACCUUUCCACCCGGCCACGCACUGGAAGCAGGCGCUCCUCUACUUGAAUGAGCCGGUGCCGGUGGAACAAGAUACAGACAUUUCUGGAGAGAUCACCCUGCUGCCCUCCCGGGACAACCCCCGGCGUCUGCGCGUACUUCUGCGCUACAAAGUGGGGGACCAUGAGGAAAAGACCAAAGACUUUGCCAUGGAGGACUGAGCGUUGCCUUUUCUCCCAUCUACCUUCUUAGGAAGGUCAGAAGAGAAAGGGAAAUCAAUCUCCUAUGCAAGUAGGGGACGUAUCUGUCUCUUUUACCUCACCACUUCUGAGAAAGGGAGUGACCAGACUUCAUUUGAGGACAUUCUUCUGGCAAUGUUUAUUUUAAAAGCACUGACAGCAUCGCCUUGGCUAUACAUGAAGAGCAACGUAUGCCACGGGGUACCAGAUGAUCCAAAGAAGCACCACAGUCUUUGGGAUGAAGACACCUGGGAAAGAGGAAAGCCUGAGGUGUGUGGACACCCAGGCACUAUCUGAUGUGUUAUGUGGAUUGGGACUGGUAACUGAAACCCUUAGGGCCACAGGCCUGGAUUAUUAGACUCUAGAGAGAGCAUCAUGGUAAAGUCCCACCUACCUCCCUCACACCUUACCUUUAUUUAGCCCUCCCAAAUUUCCCAAUUUUGUCGCUAAUUUAUUAAACCAAUGAGCAUAAUACAUUCUAAAGGUCACUGUGGUAGGUAUUUGGGAUUACAUGCUACUUGAACUCUGCCCAUAAGUAGAUGUCUACACUAAAGGAAGUAAAGGCCAUAAUUUUAGGUUAGUUAGGACCUGGGUGGUUUUAGUGUCAGAAAAGAUGGAUUAUUUGUUUUACACACUAAGUGAAAAAGGUUUCGUAGAUGCUGACAGAAAGUUACAUACAUAAUUCUUCCUGGUUUGGAAAUGUGAUCAUACAUUGUGCAAGGCUAAAUUGGAACCCAGGAUAUAGCUGAGGAUGACUUUGAACUCUUUCCUCCACCUUCCACAUUCUGGAGUUAAUAGCUCUGUACCACUGUGCCCAGCAUAGACCCAGUUUUUGGCUGACCCUUACCCACAAUUCUUGACUUUUCAAAGGUAAACAAAAAUUUACUCUCAUAUUAAUCCCACAUGCUUCACUUAAAAACAGGAGACUAUGUGCCACCUUAAUAGUAACAAGGGCUUUAUUAUUUGAUGAUGACGGGAAAGUGUUUAGUACUAGAAAGGCUCUUAGACCUGCCCAAAAGAAACAUCUGCAGUGUGUAACUUGAGUUUGACAUAGUGGGCACUCAUUUCAACAGCCCUUAUGUUUAUUUCUGUAACAAUAGUCAAAUGGGACACUUUCUAGGGUCUCCAGAAAACUGAAUGCAUGACAGUAGCAAAGACAAGUGAACUCCCUGUCAUUUGGGCAGGGAUGUAAAAGAGACAAGAAAAUGGAGUUCAAGAAAGUGAAUGUGAAAAGCACCUGCUGCGAACAGCUGCCUGCCGUCUUCUUUACUGCCAGCUUUGCUCUUAUCCCCACAGUUUACCUAGUGCUGAGGAAAGAUGGCUCCUAAGGAGCAUUUACUAACAGGCCCCACUCCUCCACAUGUUCAUCUCUGUAUAUGUCUCUCCAUUAAUUUCAUUAUCAACAGCUACAUAAUAGCUAAGCACUGUAAUAACUGAGCACAUCUGCCCUUCAGAGAACAGGGUACAGUGGGAGCAGUAAAGCAGCAUCAGUUGUUCUCAUGCAUUCGUAAGCCUGGAAAUCCUUCCCAGCUCUUAGCUCUGCUGAGUGAGUAUGGAAAGGGUGCUGUCACCCUUUAAGGCUCUCUGAGGAUCAAAGGUCUGAUUCCUAUCAGCAGGAAGAUUGUGAACACCUGAGAAACUCCCAUCUGAUGUUCUAGAAUUAGACAGUAUUCCCCAAAAUACUAGUCUGUUCCAUAAUAGACCAACUAUAUUAAAUAGGUAAUCCCCAGCUACUAAAACAAAGACUCUAAGCCAAGUUUAUGGGUCGUCUGUGUGUCUGUGUGUAUACUGUGUGUAUACUGUGUGCGCGAGUGUGUGCAUGUGCACAUUUGCUUGUAUCUUCCCCAACUUUCUGUGUGAUUUUUAUGCUUCAAUUUGUUUAUGAUUUAUCCUCUCACUUUUAAUAAAUAUUACAUGUAUUUUUUGAA